GAGUUUGAUCGUGGCUCAGGAUGAACGCUGGCGGCGUGCUUAACACAUGCAAGUCGAACGAAGCGCCUUAUUUGAUUUUCUUCGGAACUGAAGAUUUGGUGACUGAGUGGCGGACGGGUGAGUAACGCGUGGGUAACCUGCCCUGUACAGGGGGAUAACAAUCAGAAAUGACUGCUAAUACCGCAUAAGACCACAGCACCGCAUGGUGCAGGGGUAAAAACUCCGGUGGUACAGGAUGGACCCGCGUCUGAUUAGCUGGUUGGUGAGGUAACGGCUCACCAAGGCGACGAUCAGUAGCCGGCUUGAGAGAGUGAACGGCCACAUUGGGACUGAGACACGGCCCAAACUCCUACGGGAGGCAGCAGUGGGGAAUAUUGCACAAUGGGGGAAACCCUGAUGCAGCAACGCCGCGUGAGUGAAGAAGUAUUUCGGUAUGUAAAGCUCUAUCAGCAGGGAAGAAAGUGACGGUACCUGACUAAGAAGCCCCGGCUAACUACGUGCCAGCAGCCGCCGCGGU
rnacentral:rRNA from 1 species